GGGUUGUGAGGUUAAGCGACUAAGCGUACACGGUGGAUGCCCUGGCAGUCAGAGGCGAUGAAGGGCGUGCUAAUCUGCGAUAAGCGCCGGUAAGGUGAUAUGAACCGUUAUAACCGGCGAUACCCGAAUGGGGAAACCCAGUGUGACUCGUCACACUAUCAUUAACUGAAUCCAUAGGUUAAUGAGGCGAACCGGGGGAACUGAAACAUCUAAGUACCCCGAGGAAAAGAAAUCAACCGAGAUUCCCCCAGUAGCGGCGAGCGAACGGGGAGGAGCCCAGAGCCUGAAUCAGCAUGUGUGUUAGUGGAAGCGUCUGGAAAGGCGCGCGAUACAGGGUGACAGCCCCGUACACAAAAGCGCAUGUGCUGUGAGCUCGAUGAGUAGGGCGGGACACGUGGUAUCCUGUCUGAAUAUGGGGGGACCAUCCUCCAAGGCUAAAUACUCCUGACUGACCGAUAGUGAACCAGUACCGUGAGGGAAAGGCGAAAAGAACCCCGGCGAGGGGAGUGAAAAAGAACCUGAAACCGUGUACGUACAAGCAGUGGGAGCACCCUUUGGGGUGUGACUGCGUACCUUUUGUAUAAUGGGUCAGCGACUUAUAUUCUGUAGCAAGGUUAACCGAAUAGGGGAGCCGGAGGGAAACCGAGUCUUAAUUGGGCGUUAAGUUGCAGGGUAUAGACCCGAAACCCGGUGAUCUAGCCAUGGGCAGGUUGAAGGUUGGGUAACACUAACUGGAGGACCGAACCGACUAAUGUUGAAAAAUUAGCGGAUGACCUGUGGCUGGGGGUGAAAGGCCAAUCAAACCGGGAGAUAGCUGGUUCUCCCCGAAAGCUAUUUAGGUAGCGCCUCGUGAAUUCAUCUCCGGGGGUAGAGCACUGUUUCGGCUAGGGGGCCAUCCCGGCUUACCAACCCGAUGCAAACUGCGAAUACCGGAGAAUGUUAUCACGGGAGACACACGGCGGGUGCUAACGUCCGUCGUGAAGAGGGAAACAACCCAGACCGCCAGCUAAGGUCCCAAAGUCAUGGUUAAGUGGGAAACGAUGUGGGAAGGCCCAGACAGCCAGGAUGUUGGCUUAGAAGCAGCCAUCAUUUAAAGAAAGCGUAAUAGCUCACUGGUCGAGUCGGCCUGCGCGGAAGAUGUAACGGGGCUAAACCAUGCACCGAAGCUGCGGCAGCGACACUAUGUGUUGUUGGGUAGGGGAG
rnacentral:rRNA from 1 species